GGGUAAAACGUAUUCGGGUCGACGCGACCGUUCGGGGUUCCCUCAAACGCACACACACAAAUAUUGAAGCCAGGCGAAAGAAGAGCUUCGAUCGACGUGAACGGAGCAGUGGCGUAAUUGAGAAUAUUUUAAGGGGGGGAGGUUAUCAAAAUAAACGGCGAUCUUAUGGGAGGUUAGCCCCACACAACCCCCUAUCAACACUUAAUAAUCGGCACCAUGGCUCGGAAAUUUUCUAUUAAAUGGUACGUCUA